rnacentral:rRNA from 1 species
AGUGAACGCUGGCGGUAGGCCUAACACAUGCAAGUCGAACGGCAGCACAGGAGAGCUUGCUCUCUGGGUGGCGAGUGGCGGACGGGUGAGGAAUACAUCGGAAUCUACCUUUUCGUGGGGGAUAACGUAGGGAAACUUACGCUAAUACCGCAUACGACCUACGGGUGAAAGGGGGGGACCGCAAGGCCUCACGCGAUUAGAUGAGCCGAUGUCCGAUUAGCUAGUUGGCGGGGUAAUGGCCCACCAAGGCGACGAUCGGUAGCUGGUCUGAGAGGAUGAUCAGCCACACUGGAACUGAGACACGGUCCAGACUCCUACGGGAGGCAGCAGUGGGGAAUAUUGGACAAUGGGCGCAAGCCUGAUCCAGCCAUACCGCGUGGGUGAAGAAGGCCUUCGGGUUGUAAAGCCCUUUUGUUGGGAAAGAAAUCCUGUCGAUUAAUACUCGGUGGGGAUGACGGUACCCAACAGAAUAAGCACCGGCUAACUUCGUGCCAGCAGCCGCGGUAAGAC